rnacentral:rRNA from 1 species
GACGAACGCUGGCGGCGUGCUUAACACAUGCAAGUCGAACGGAAAGGCCCUGCUUUUGUGGGGUGCUCGAGUGGCGAACGGGUGAGUAACACGUGAGUAACCUGCCCUUGACUUUGGGAUAACUUCAGGAAACUGGGGCUAAUACCGGAUAGGAGCUCCUGCUGCAUGGUGGGGGUUGGAAAGUUUCGGCGGUUGGGGAUGGACUCGCGGCUUAUCAGCUUGUUGGUGGGGUAGUGGCUUACCAAGGCUUUGACGGGUAGCCGGCCUGCGAGGGUGACCGGCCACAUUGGGACUGAGGUACGGCCCAGAAUCCUACGGUCGGCAGCAGUGGGGAAUAUUGCACAAUGGGCGGAAGCCUGAUGCAGCAACGCCCCGUGCGGGAUGCCGGCCUUCGGGUUGUAAACCGCUUUCGCCUGUGACGAAGCGUGAGUGACGGUAAUGGGUAAAGAAGCACCGGCUAACUACGUG